UGGCUUUAUAGGUUUAUUGUUUCACUUUGACAGAGCUAGGCUAACGACUCCCAUAGACUUCAAGUCUUUUUGCUAAGCUAAUACAAAAUGCUAUCCAUAGGAACUGAACUACUGGAUGUACAGAGGUGAACAUCAUGUCUCACAUCUUGUCUCGGUCUGGGUAAAUCGGAAAAAGGG